GACGAACGCUGGCGGCGUGCUUAACACAUGCAAGUCGAACGGAAAGGCCCUGCUUGCAGGGUGCUCGAGUGGCGAACGGGUGAGUAACACGUGGGUGAUCUGCCCCUUACUUUGGGAUAAGCCUGGGAAACUGGGUCUAAUACUGGAUAGGACCAUGCUGUAGGUGGUGUGGUGGAAAGAUUAGUUUCGGUAAGGGAUGAGCUCGCGGCCUAUCAGCUUGUUGGUGGGGUAAUGGCCUACCAAGGCGUCGACGGGUAGCCGGCCUGAGAGGGUGGACGGCCACAUUGGGACUGAGAUACGGACCAGACUCCUACGGGAGGCAGCAGUGGGGAAUAUUGCACAAUGGGCGCAAGCCUGAUGCAGCGACGCCGCGGGGGGGAGGACGGCCUUCGGGUUGUAAACUCCUUUCAGCCAUGACGAAGCCCUUGUGGUGACGGUAGUGGCAGAAGAAGCACCGGCUAACUACGUG
rnacentral:rRNA from 1 species